UAAAACUUAGGUUAAAUAAAAACUAUGAAUUUUCAAAAUUCAAGAUACUAUUAGUUUUAG
rnacentral:tRNA from 1 species